rnacentral:rRNA from 1 species
UGCGUAGGCGGCUUGGUAAGUCAGAUGUGAAAUCCUGGGGCUCAACCUCGGGACUGCAUUUGAUACUGCCAGGCUAGAGUACUGGAGAGGAGACUGGAAUUUACGGUGUAGCAGUGAAAUGCGUAGAUAUCGUAAGGAAGGCCAGUGGCGAAGGCGAGUCUCUGGACAGUAACUGACGCUGAGGCACGAAGGCUAGGGGAGCAAACG